rnacentral:piRNA from 1 species
UGAGCAAAAUGGCAAAGUGUUCAGAGACUGC